rnacentral:rRNA from 1 species
UACGGGAGGCAGCAGUGGGGAAUAUUGCACAAUGGGCGAAACCCUGAUGCAGCGACGCCGCGUGAGUGAAGAAGUAUUUCGGUAUGUAAAGCUCUAUCAGCAGGGAAGAAAAUGACGGUACCUGACUAAGAAGCUCCGGCUAAAUACGUGCCAGCAGCCGCGGUAAU